rnacentral:rRNA from 1 species
GACGAACGCUGGCGGCGUGCCUAAUACAUGCAAGUAGGACGCAGUUGCGAACGGGUGAGUAACGCGUAGGUAACUACCUAUUAGAGGGGGAUAACUAUUGGAAACGAUAGCUAAUACCAAAAACUCGUCGAUGGACCUGCGUUGUAUUAGCUAGUAGGUAGGGUAAUGGCCUACCUAGGCAACGAUGCAUAGCCGACCUGAGAGGGUGAUCGGGCACACUGGGAAUGAGACACGGCCCAGACUCCUUCGGGAGGCAGCAGUAGGGGAGUUUCGGCAAUGGGGGGAAAGCUGACCGAGCAACGGCGCGGUAGUGAAGAAGGUUUUCGGGUCGGAAAGCUCUGUUGUUAAGGAAGCGGUACGUAACCAGAAAGGGACGGCUAACUACGUGCCAGCAGCCGCGGUAAUAC